rnacentral:rRNA from 1 species
CCGGAUUACCAAACCUUCUCAAACUCCGAAUACCCAGAAGUUAUGCGUGGCAGACACACGGCGGGUGCUAACGUCCGUCGUGGAAAGGGAAACAACCCAGACCGCCAAUUAAGGCCCCUAAGUAAUAGCUAAGUGCGAAACGAUGUGGAGGUGCUGAGACAAUCAGGAGGUUGGCUUAGAAGCAGCCAUCCUUUAAAGAAAGCGUAACAGCUCACUGAUCAAGCGCCUCUGCGCGGAAAAUGUAUCGGGACUAAAGUUAUUCGCCGAAAUUGCGGACUCG